CGCGGCCGCCGCCUCUUUAGCCACCGCCGCCGGCAGCGAAGACGCGGAGAAAAAAGUUCUCGCCACCAAAGUCCUUGGCACUGUCAAAUGGUUCAACGUCAGAAAUGGAUAUGGAUUUAUAAAUCGAAAUGACACCAAAGAAGAUGUAUUUGUACAUCAGACUGCCAUCAAGAAGAAUAACCCACGGAAAUAUCUGCGUAGUGUAGGAGAUGGAGAAACUGUAGAGUUUGAUGUGGUUGAAGGAGAGAAGGGUGCAGAAGCUGCCAAUGUGACUGGCCCGGAUGGAGUUCCUGUGGAAGGGAGUCGUUACGCUGCAGAUCGGCGCCGUUACAGACGUGGCUACUAUGGAAGGCGCCGUGGCCCACCCCGGAAUGUACGUUGUCUCUGUUACUUACCAGUGAUUGAGAAAUUGUUCAUGCAUGGAAUUAAGUGUAUAUACUUGGAGCAGAUAAAUGCCUUGUCUUCUCCUGGAGACAAAUGAUUUAAGUGAUUUUUAUUUUUUCUUUAAAGGAAAUUUUUAUCUUAUUUUUAAAAAUGUUUAUUAUUGAUUUCCAUAGGUUUUUGGGAAACCAGUGGUGAUUAGUUACAUGAAUAAGUUCUUUAGUGGUGAUUUCUGAGAUUUUGGUGUACCCAUCACUGGAGCAAUAUACACGGUACUCUUAAGGGGAAAUCUUAGCUCUCAGAAUUUUUCCAGAGCCACUGGUCUCAUUAGAAACUUGCCAUUCAGAAGUUGUAUCAGUUAGGAUAUAUUUGGCUACGAGUAAUAGACAUUUAAUUAUCUUGUAACAGGAAGACUUAAGGGAGACAGUGCUGAGGUUUUAACAAGGUUUCUCUUCAUUUGUCUCUCUUUUCUGGCCAGAACCUAGUCACAGACAUUCACUGGCAAAGGGGAAUGGAUUUCCAUCAUUGACUUAACCUUGUUGUUCAUUCUUUGGUGCCGACACUGUUGACCUCUAAGAAAAUCAAAAUUUGGUUGGUGAAAGAAUGCAAAAUAACUUGUGAAUAGGCAAUAAAAGUGCAGGCCACAGAGCUAUUAACUAAUUUGUCUUGGUUAAGUGGCUGUUUUAUUUAGCAUAGCAUUUUUCCGUUAUUUCAAAGUAAAGAAGCAAUAAGUGAUUCUGUGGAUUUUUAGUUCUUUAAGUUGGUUUCAAUGCAGGGGAAACAGUUUCUGAGCAAAUCUGGCUGGAGCUUUCUUGGGAGGCUCAGUUUAUAGGAGUAUUCUGAAGGCACCCAAAAUUGACCCAGUAUAUUUGUGGCCAUGAGGAACUUACUAGAUUUGAAUCAGUUCUUGGUGUUUCUAGAAUUAGAACCAGGUAUUGGCACAUUGAAGAAAACUUCGAAUGUUUGUCAGCACAGGAUUGUGACUACCUAUCUCAUCCAAAGAAAAACUCAUCAGAAUUAAAUAUCUGCAGAUUGAGAAUUACCUAUCUUUAUGUUUUGAUGGAUGUAUAUCUUUCUGUUUACCUAAAUGCUUUUCCUCUUUAUUCUGCCAUCAUCACACCCUGCCCAAAUUAAUUCUAUCAGAUUCCCUAGGACUUCCCACUUGUUUCUUUGUUUUUGCUUAUCUUAUUUGAUUUUUAAUAAGCUAUGAGGGGGUAGCUAGGAAUGAGCUGCUGUAGCAUUUCCUACAUCAUAUUCUCUUUCAAGUUCAUCAGAGUCACAGAGUGCUAAGUGUGAUUAUUUUGACUCCCAGGUUAAUUCAAAAGUAAAAGUGGUAGAAAAACAUUCAGUGAAAAAUUUUUCUUAAGGGCUUUUCCCGUCCAAAACCUGAAAAUUCUAAAGUCAUGCGUAUAAAAGAUAUUUAGAAACAAAAUUGUUAAAACGCUUAAGAAACAAAAUUGUUAACACUCUUAAAGUAUACAUAAAUGAGCUUUUUUGUUGUAAUAUCUAAGUCCCAACAACUUGUUCAGUAUCUCUCAAAAGAGCGUAUUCAGCAGUGCUGGUGCCAUUAUUAUGCUUUGUAAAACUCUUAAAGAUUUGAUUGUGUGAAAUGCGAAAGAGGAAGAUAAGCCCAAGAAGAAAAACAGUUUAUGUUGUCUCACACUUAAUAUUUUGGUAAGCAUUUUCUGUGCAAAUAAACGUUUACAUAAUUGUGAAUCUCAUCUUUGCUAGAGGUUUUAUGAAGAGUAGAAUGACUUGAUUUUUUUUUUUUGGCUUUUUUGGAGGGGGAGUUUGGUUGCACAUGUGGACUUGUUCUGGAACGGUCCAAAGCUUAAAUACACUCCUGUAAAAAAAAAAUGGGUCAUUAUUUUGCUUUUUUUAUUUAUUCAUUUUUAAAAACUAGUUACUUCCCAUUAAAGGCAUUUGCAGAUCCUCUUUAAAGUAAGACUUGAAAUCACAUAGUCUUUGUAGGAUGUUUGGUUUUUUAAAAUGUAAAAUGGUAGUAUAUGAUAUAAUUUAAAUAGAAGAAAAAUAUAAAAUAAUCAGUAAUUUCCUUUGUUAAUAUUAAUAAGGUCUAUAUUUAGAAACCUCCAGGAUUAGGGCUUAUUACCCUCAAAGUAUGAUUAAAGCUUUACUCCUAAACAUAUAAAGGGAGUCAUGCCAUAGGUCAGUGGUUCUCAGACUUCUUGAUUUUGGGAUCUGUUUAUAUGCUUACAUGAUAUUGAGGAUUCUAGAGUUUUUGUCAAUGUUUGUUUAUAUUAAUAUUAUAUUAGAAAAUAAAAUAAACUUAAAAUGUUAAUUGACUUAAAAUAACUAUAUGUUCGUGAAAAUAACAGUUUUUAUGGAAAAAAAUAUUUAAAUUGAAAAGAGUGGUAUUGCUUUAUACUUUUGCAGAUCUCUGAUGUAUGGUUUAAUAGAAGAUAGCUGGAUUCUCACAUCUGUUUCUGCAUUCAGUCUGCUGAGAGACCACAUGUCAUUGUAGCCUUUGGGAGACCCCACCAUAUACUUCUGAGAGAAUGCCUGGGAAAGGCAAAUAGCAUCUUAGUAAUAUUAUGGCAAUAGUUUGACCUCGCUGACCCCCUGGAAGUUUUCAGAGAUCCCAUCCACACUUUACAGACUGUUGUAGGAAGAAUACCACUUGGGUCAAAUAUGUUGGUAACAUCAUAAAAUGUAUUCUUUUUUGGCUUUUCCCUGACAUUGCCUCAGUGGAUGGUAAAUGCUGGGAGACACGCAUUUGAUGGAGCAAAAAUUAUAAACCUUACAGAUACUCUUCGGGUGGUUGGUUAGCUGAUACCAGUUCUAAUUAGAUGACUAUUAAAUUGAUUGUAGAUUGAUUGCUCUUGCUUUUCUGCUUCUUGGUAUUUUAUCUGCACAGAUCUACUCUAAUCUUAAUGUAGUUUAUCCCAGGCAAUCACAUGAUAAUCUGGGUUAAAUGCAUUUUGUCUGUAUAAUGGAAAGGAUUUUAUUGCUUUGGGGAGAUUUUAUUUUGGUGAUAUUCAUCCUAAAUGGUGUUCUUUGGUUCUUUCCUUGCUAAAACUUCUUCUGAAUCUCUGUUUCUUUGCUUCGCUAGUACGCUGGGGAGGAGGAGGAGGAAGGGAGCGGCAGCAGUGAAGGAUUUGACCCCCCUGCCACUGAUAGGCAGUUCUCUGGGGCCCGGAAUCAGCUGCGCCGCCCCCAGUAUCGCCCUCAGUACCGGCAGCGGCGGUUCCCGCCUUACCACGUGGGACAGACCUUUGACCGUCGCUCACGGGUCUUACCCCAUCCCAACAGAAUACAGGCUGGUGAGAUUGGAGAGAUGAAGGAUGGAGUCCCGGAGGGAGCACAACUUCAGGGACCGGUUCAUCGAAAUCCAACUUACCGCCCAAGGUACCGUAGGUAUGUCGCAUUUUCCACUAAUGGCCAGUUACAGGACUUGUGUGCUCAGUGGUAGAAUGAGGACUGUGUGGUUCUGUUUUGUGGAUUUAUUAUAUAUCUAGAAGAUGUGAAUGCUUUCACUACAUGCCAGAGUUUUCAGGUGCUGGUGUGACAUUUCCCACCUACUUAAUACUAGAAUUUUUAGUUAUCUCUGCACCCAAAGCAUCAUUUUGUAUUCUGGAAUUAUAAUAAGAUGUAAAUUAAUACUUAAUUUUUAUCAAAAUAAAUCAGAUAAAUUAUUGGUGGGCAAUUCCAUGGUAAUGCUGCAAAUGGAGGAAGAAUUGAGUGUCAGAGGGUAUUUGGGAUAGUGAGUAUUAAUCACUGAGGCAGUCCAGUAGAGGGGUUAUAUCAGGGUAUGAUCAAAUCGCCUGAAUUUAUCUUCCUACUCUACAACUCAUUAGAUGUAUGUUCUUGGACUGCAUUCCAGCCUGUGCAACAGAGUGAGACCCUGUCUGAAAACAAAGAGAUAUUCUAUAGUUAGGGAUUAAAGGUACUAAUGCAGCUGAGAUAAUUAGUGUGGUACCUGAUAAAGUAAAGGCCUCGAUAUGUAUUAGAUAUUAUUACCACCAUUGAGGUUAAUAUUCGUGAAUGCUGGGUUAUUGUAUUUGUGCUUUAUUCCUCUUGAAGACUGAAUUAGGCUAGACUCCCUCCAUACGAUCCCUUUGAAGCUUUUUAUAAUAUAAGCCUGCCCAUUCUUUUAUCUUACCCUUUGUGGUAAGUGGAAAAACUACAACUUCCUUCCUAAAUGAUGUUUAUGCUACCUUGAAAUUUGUCAGUAUGGCUUUAUUGAAGGAUAAAAAGUAUAUUAUAUUGGGAGAGGAUUCUACCAAUAUAAUUGUAAAAGGAUUGUAUCCUUUUUCUUCACAAGAUUCCCUCCAGCUUUAGGUAUAAUCACUAAUGAUUAAGUACUAAGGACUUUCAAAAUAAAAGAGAUGGCAUAGAAAUGUCUUACUGGAACAAAAAGGAUUCAGUAGCUUGCGUGAGGCUCAGCUUUGUCAGUCCCUGGCUAUGUGAUCUCGGGAAGUCAUAUUUGACCUUUUUUAACCUAUAAAAGCAGCACUUUUAUGUAGCUCAGCCAUAUAUUUUGUCGUCUAAACCUUUUGGUUUUCUUGUUAUAAAUCUCAUCCACAGAAUUACCAUUCAAAUUAAAUAUUUAAUUUUAAAACCGACUAGCACAGGCUCUGGCACAUAAUAAUAUUUCUUCUCAUGUUUAAUUCCCUUAGUCUCUGCUAAAUUCUAUUCAUGGAAGGCAGAUACCAGACUACUCUUCUUUUCUUUUUUAAUUUUCCUAUUCUUAGUGCUUAUCAAAGGGCCUGAUAGGAACAGAGUAUGUGUUCGGUAUAUGUAUGUUCCUUACAAAUAUGUAUUCAAAUGAAAGGGGAAAAUGAUGGAAAAUUAAGAUUUUUUUUUUCAUGAAACCUGUAUUCCAUUUGUUGCAUUGACCUGUGAAUAAUUCUAGCAAUAAGUACUCAUCACUUGAAUUUUUUUUUUUUUUUUUUUUUUUUUUUUUUUUUUGAGAUGGAGUCUCCCUCUGUCACCCAGGCUGGAGUGCAGUGCCAAUCUUGAGUUGCUACAACCUCUGCCUCAUGGAUUCAAGCGAUUCUUAUGCCUCAGCCUCCCAAGUAGCUGGGAUUACAGGCAUGUGCCACCACGCCUGGCUAAUGUUUGUAUUUUUAGUAGAGAUGGAGUUUCACCAUGUUGGCCAGGCUGGUCUUGAACUCCUGACCUCAAGUGAUCCGCCCGCCUCAGCCUCCCGAAGUGCUGGGAUUACAGGGGUGAACCAUCAUGCCUGGCCCUGAUCACUUGACUUUUUAAUUUUUAAAAAUAAAUAAAACCUUAUUUUCUGGAAAAGCCCUGUCCCGUUGGCACUUGUUCUAUUUUCUUCUGUGUUCCCUACAGCAGGGGACCUCCUCGCCCACGACCUGCCCCAGCAGUUGGAGAGGCUGAAGAUAAAGAAAAUCAGCAAGCCACCAGUGGUCCAAACCAGCAGUCUGUUCGCCGUGGAUACCGGCGUCCCUACAAUUACCGGCGUCGCCCGCGUCCUCCUAACGCUCCUUCACAAGAUGGCAAAGAGGCCAAGGCAGGUGAAGCACCAACUGAGAACCCUGCUCCACCCACCCAGCAGAGCAGUGCUGAGUAACACCAGGCUCCCCAGGCACCUUCACCAUCGGCAGGUGACCUAAAGAAUUAGUGACCAUUCAGAAAUAAAGCAAAAAGCAGGCCACAACCUUACCAACACCAAAGAAACAUCCAAGCAAUAAAGUGGAAGACUAACCAAGAUUUGGACAUUGGAAUGUUUACUGUUAUUCUUUAAGAAACAACUACAAAAAGAAAAUGUCAACAAAUUUUUCCAGCAAGCUGAGAACCUGGGAAUUCCUGCACAGAAGACAAGAGAGCAGCCUCCCCAGUUUCAGCAACCGCUAGGUUUAUAUUUUUUUUCCUGGUUUUUACUGUUUUGGUAAUAUAUAUAUUGAAACAAGAAAUAUUAAUACCACAUGGGGAGAACCCCAACCAAAGAAAUCUGAAAUAUAUAGUAAAUGCUUUUUUUUCCGUUUUUGUUCAUUUUGGAUGCUGGUGCUAAACCUCCAAGUGUCAUGAUUU
rnacentral:sRNA from 1 species